rnacentral:rRNA from 1 species
UAUUAAAAUUUUAAAAAAUUUAGAAAUUUUGAAAAUUUUAAAGUUAAUUUUAAUUUAAAAUUUUUUAAAAAGUUAUUUAAAUUAUUUUGAAAAUUUUUAAAAAAAAAGAAAUGUUUAUGAUUUUAGUUUAAUCCCCCAAUUUAAAAAAUCCCAUUAAGAAGUUAACAUUUGGUUAUAAAAUUUUAUGAUUUAUUAAAAUGUAAGUUUAAAGUGUUAAAAAAACAGGUAAAUUCAUGCAUUGAAUUAUCGAAACUAACGGGCUGCAAAUAAGGGAGGAAUUGUAAAGGUAAAAAAGUUUCAUCUCAAGAUAACAGGUAAAAUCAACAAUAUUAGGUAUUCGAAAUUAAGGAAGAUCAUCACAGGCUCAACAGUCGAUAUGCCUCAAGGGAAAUAGCCUUGGCCAUAGGAAAAGUUAGUAGAAGACGGGGGCGUAAUGCGUAGGAAUCUACCUAGUGGUACAGAAUAGCCCUCAGAAUUGGUGGGUACUCCCGUAUGUCCCCGAGGGAGUAAGAUCUAUCGCUCUUGACAGCCUUCGGUAGAUAGCUCGUUGCGAGGAUAGGGCUUACCAAGGCUAAGAUCUAUACCCGGUCUGAGGGGAAGAUCAGCCACGCUGGAAAAGAGAUGCGGUCCCGACUCCCCCGGGGGGCAGCCGUGGGGAAACCCCCACAAUUGGCGGAAGCCGAUCCAGCUGGCCGCCGAGGACGAAGGCCUCCGUCUCCACUAACAAAAAGCAAAAAUAAGAUUAGCA